AUGGAGCCCAGCUCAAAACAGGAUUGUAAUAUACCAGCUAGAGUGGUAGAUGCUACAAAUUUACAGCCCGCAUUACUUCCAGGUGAAUUCCCAGAAAAAUUUUCAGUGUUAAAUGAUGAUGGUUGUGGGCAGCAGCGUCAAGUUGAGGAUAGUUCACAGACUCAUCGAGGCAAUGCAUCUGUUGAUAAAGGUUUAGGUGACCCAACUUCCAUUAGCGUAGAGGUCAGGCUGCCUAUUGCUGAGGGGAGUCAGUUCAUCGAUGAUAAAUGUAAUGACGUUAGU
rnacentral:misc_RNA from 1 species